rnacentral:rRNA from 1 species
UACGAAGGGGGCUAGCGUUGCUCGGAAUUACUGGGCGUAAAGGGCGCGUAGGCGGAUCGUUAAGUCAGAGGUGAAAGCCCAGGGCUCAACCCUGGAAUUGCCUUUGAUACUGGCGAUCUUGAGUACGGGAGAGGUGUGUGGAACUCCGAGUGUAGAGGUGAAAUUCGUAGAUAUUCGGAAGAACACCAGUGGCGAAGGCGGUCUC